rnacentral:rRNA from 1 species
AUUGAACGCUGGCGGCAGGCCUAACACAUGCAAGUCGAGCGAGCGGCGGACGGGUGAGUAAUGUCUGGGAAACUGCCUGAUGGAGGGGGAUAACUACUGGAAACGGUAGCUAAUACCGCAUACCAUCAGAGGUGCCCAGAUGGGAGUAGCUAGUAGGUGGGGGAACGGCUCACCUAGGCGACGAUCCCUAGCUGGUCUGAGAGGAGGACCAGCCACACUGGAACUGAGACACGGCCCAGACUCCUACGGGAGGCAGCAGUGGGGAAUAUUGCACAAUGGGCGCAAGCCUGAUGCAGCCAUGCCGCGUGUGUGAAGAAGGCCUUAGGGUUGUAAAGCACUUUCAGCGGGGAGGCGUUACCCGCAGAAGAAGCACCGGCUAACUCCGUGCCAGCAGCCGCGGUAAUUC